rnacentral:rRNA from 1 species
AAUGAACGCUGGCGGCGUGCUUAACACAUACAAGUCGAACGAGAAAGCUUUAGCUUGCUAGAGCGAGUAAAGUGGCGCACGGGUGAGUAACGCGUGGGUAAUCUACCCUUGAAUUUGGGAUAACACUUCGAAAGGGGUGCUAAUACCGGAUAAUAUCUUUUGUAUUGCGGUACGAAAGAUCAAAGAUAGCCUCUUCCUGAAAGCUAUUGUCUGGGGAUGAGCCCGCGUACCAUUAGCUUGUUGGUGGGGUAAUGGCCUACCAAGGCGACGAUGGUUAGCUGGUCUGAGAGGAUGAUCAGCCACACUGGAACUGGAACACGGUCCAG